GCUGGGUGUGGUGGCACACAUCUGUAAUCCCAGCUACUGGGGAGGCUGAGACAGGAGAAUUGCUUGAACCCAGGAGGCAGAGGCUGAAGUGAACUGAGAAGUCACAGCACUGCACUCUAGCCUGGGUGACAGAGCAAGACUCUGUCUCAA
ensembl:misc_RNA Metazoa_SRP Metazoan signal recognition particle RNA